rnacentral:rRNA from 1 species
GAAAAGCGUAGUCGAUGGGAAACAGGUUAAUAUUCCUGUACUUGGUGUUACUGCGAAGGGGGGACGGAGAAGGCUAGGCUAGCCGGGCGACGGUUGUCCCGGUUUAAGCAUGUAGGCGGAGUGACUUGGUAAAUCCGGUUGCUUAUCAACGCUGAGGUGUGAUGACGAGUCACUACGGUGAUGAAGUAGUUGAUGCCAAGCUUCCAGGAAAAGCCUCUAAGCAUCAGGUAACAUUAAAUCGUACCCCAAACCGACACAGGUGGUCAGGUAGAGAAUACUCAGGCGCUUGAGAGAACUCGGGUGAAGGAACUAGGCAAAAUGGUGCCGUAACUUCGGGAGAAGGCACGCUGGCAUUAGGUAAAGAGACUUGCUCUCGGCGCCGAAGCCAGUCGCAGAUACCAGCUGGCUGCAACUGUUUAAUAAAAACACAGCACUGUGCAAACACGAAAGUGGACGUAUACGGUGUGACGCCUGCCCGGUGCUGGAAGGUUAAUUGAUGGGGUCAGCCGCAAGGCGAAGCUCUUGAUCGAAGCCCC